rnacentral:misc_RNA from 1 species
UUUUAGUUUUGUUUUCAGGCUGUAUAUGUUUCAUACAAACUAUCAACCCCAAUUAAAUCCCCUUAGCGGUGGAAUAUCGUAAGAUCCGUUCUUAGCGGACGUCUGCUAACUAUAAUCUACCUCCCUGCCAAAUUUUAUCUUUGUCCAACCUGGAUGGAUAGCCCAUCCAGCGGUUUUUGAGUUCUCGUGAUGCGUGAGUUAUUUACCUUUUUCUUUUAUAUAUAUAGAUAACGAUGCAUUAUUUGGACACCUUCUCACCAUCUAAAGAGCGUACAUUUUAUAUUUCAAGUCUCUUACUUCAAAAACAUAGGACUCUCAUACAAACUUCCAACCCCCGUUUUAUCCCCUUAGGGGUCGAGUUUCGUAAAAUCAUCUCUUAACGGAUGUUUACGCCCUAUAAGGAACCUACCUGCCAAAUUUCAAGUUUGUAGCUGUUAUAGUUUCGGAUAUUUCGUGAUCAGUGAGUCAACCUACCAUUCCCCGUUUUAACCCCAAAAGGGGGUUGAUUUCUAAAGAUACAUUAUUUGUACGCCUUCUUAUCAUCUAUAGAGUAUACAUUUUAAAUUUCAAGUCUCUUACUUCAAAAACAUAGGACUUUCAUACAAAAUUGCAACCCCCGUUUUACCCCCUUAGGGGUCGAGUUUCGUAAAAUUAUCUCUUAGUGAAUGUUUACGCCUUAUAAGAAACCUACCUGCCAAAUUUCAAGUUUGUAGGUGUUAUAGUUUCGGAGAUUUCGUGAUGAGUGA